rnacentral:misc_RNA from 1 species
GAUGAAGAACGUAGCGAAAUGCGAUAAGUAAUGUGAAUUGCAGAACUCAGUGAAUCAUCGAAUCUUUGAACGCACAUUGCGCCCGCCAGUAUUCUGGCGGGCAUGCCUGUUCGAGCGUCAUUUCAACCAUCAAGCCCCGGGCUUGUGUUGGGGACCUGCGGCUGCCGCAGGCCCUGAAAUGCAGUGGCGGGCUCGCUGUCACUCCGAGCGUAGUAGUUACAUCUCGCUCUGGGCGUGCUGCGGGUUCCGGCCGUUAAAAGCCUUAUUUACCCAAGGUUGACCUCGGAUCAGGUAGGAAGACCCGCUGAACUUAAGCAUAUCAAUAAGCGGAGGA